UACGAAGGGGGCUAGCGUUGCUCGGAAUUACUGGGCGUAAAGGGCGCGUAGGCGGCCCGCUAAGUCGAACGUGAAAUCCCCAGGCUCAACCUGGGAACUGCGUCCGAUACUGGCAGGCUUGAAUCCGGGAGAGGGAUGUGGAAUUCCAGGUGUAGCGGUGAAAUGCGUUGAUAUCUGGAGGAACACCGGUGGCGAAGGCGGCAUCCUGGACCGAGAUUGACGCUGAGGCGCGAAAGCCAGGGGAGCAAACGGG
rnacentral:rRNA from 1 species